AGCCACUCAAGAGAUGGGCGGCACUUUCAAGUAUUCAGCUGCAAUUCGGUGUAGGGUCCCUCGCUCCUGCUCGGCGCAAAGGACCUCCCACUGAAUUGCCGCUGAUCGUGAUCA